AGCAGCCGCGGUAAUUCCAGCUCCAAUAGCGUAUAUUAAAGUUGUUGCAGUUAAAAAGCUCGUAGUUGAACUUCGGAAUUUGCCCAUUGGUCGGGCAGAACUGUCUGUACUGGUGUGACGAGUUCCUACCUUCUGAGGAAUCUUCAUGCCAUUUCAGUUGGUGUGGGGGGAAAUCAGGACUGUUACUUUGAAAAAUUAGAGUGUUUAAAGCAGGCAUCCGUCUGAAUACAUUAGCAUGGAAUAAUAAAAUAGGACGGUUUGGUUCUAUUUUGUUGGUUUCUAGGAUCACCGUAAUGAUUAAUAGGGAUAGUUGGGGGCAUUAGUAUUCGAAUUGUCAGAGGUGAAAUUCUUGGAUUUAUUGAAGACUAACUACUGCGAAAGCAUUUGCCAAGGAUGUUUUCAUUAAUCAA
rnacentral:rRNA from 1 species